GGAAAGAUGGCUCAGUGGUUAAG
rnacentral:piRNA from 1 species